UCCUCUUUGGCCAAGUGGUAAGGCGUUCCACUCGUACGUAUUUAGACGUAUUUCGACAUGGAAAGAUCACUCGUUCGAUUCGGGUAAGAGGAG